AGUUGCGGUGGCGCGCUCGUGGCGGGGACGCCGGCACCCGGCUGCUCACCCGGGACGGCCGUCACACCGGCACUACGGGAAGAAGCCGGCCGGCUAGGGCACGGAGCUCUGGGCUUGCGGGGUGCGGCGCACGCCCCUCCCUCCCACCGCCUAAGGUUUUUCCGAAGCUGCUGGGCGUGCGCCGCGUUUCUGAGGCGGGAGGAGACACUUCCGAGCCAGCUGUGUGACAUCCGUUUACACAGCCGCGCUGACGUCUCGAGGUAGGCGGGUGAGCACAAGGAAACACCUUUCGCUGAUGAAGGAGGAAUAUGAAGCAGCAGUUGCAGAGGUGAAGAGGAAGAGGAGUAUUUGCCAGGAAAACUAGGAUGGACCCUUCCCAGUAUACAUACAGGGAGGAUGUAAAAGUCAAAAACUUCCGUCAAAAUUAAGGCCAACACCAAGAAAGAAAAACCAGUCCUCUCAGACAUCACGACAUUGCCCCAGAGAGGAACCCAGGAUUCUCACACCAUGACACCAUCCCCAUCUGUUUCUCCAGCCACAUUUGGACAUGGAUCUGGCAGCCUAAGACCAGUUUGUAUGCUGCGAAAUCAAUGAGAAGAGAAUUGUGUUGGCAAGAAAUGUGCCUGGUGAAUGAAUGAAAGAAAGAAAGAAAAAAAGAAAGAAAGAAGGAAAGAAAGAAAGAAAGAAAGAAAGAAAGAAAGAAAGAAAGAAAGAAAGA
rnacentral:lncRNA from 10 species